AGUCCCAGCUUCUUUUCAUUGAAGAGAGGGAGACUGGGUUAUGGAACACACUUCUGGAAGACUACAGAUGGAGUUUCGCUCUUGUUGCCUAGGAUGGAGUGCAAUGGCACAAUCUCGGCUCACCGUAACCUCCGCCUCCCAGGUUCAAGUGAUUCUCCUGCCUCAGCCUCCCGAGUAGCUGGGAUUACAGGACCUGCUGUGGUUCCAGUGAUCUUGGCAUUUUCAUCAGAUGUUCAUGGCUGGACCACGUAAACAUGUACAAGUCAUUUUUUCCAGCUGAUGAAAUGAAAGCUAAGACUGAGCCUUUGUCAGUCCCCCUGCUGCCUCAAAACUUGUAUUUCUGGUGACUGUAUAAGGAAUGUGGCUCCUGGCUGAAGUUGACUCUCUCUGUGGCUGGGCCCACUGGGCAUACUUGAGAAGAAAGCAAGGAGAACACAUGGAAAGAUUUUCAAAGAAAAGUCAUGAAGUUCAUUUUCACUGAACACAGAAAGGGCUAAAGGGUACCAUCAUCCAGAAGAAUUUCAAAGAUGUAGCCAGAAUCACAGGUCUUAUUGUAAAAACAAGUAGCUGCCUUUGAACAUUUAAAAUGGGUAUAAUAUGCAAAGUAUUUGAGAUUUUUAAUCUUUUUCUUCUCCUUCUCCUUCUUCUUCUUCUUUUUUUUUGUUUUGUUUUGUUUUUUGUUUUUUUUGAGACAGGGUCUCCCCGCUGUGGCCCAGGCUAGAAUGCAGUGGUAUGAUCAUGGCUCACUGCAGCCUCAACCUCCCAGGCUGAAUCAAUCAUCCCACCUCAGCUUCCUGAGUAGCUGGGACUACAGGCACAUAGCACCAUGCCCGGCUAAUUUUUGUUUGGUAUUUUUUGUAGAGACAGGGUCUUGGCCAUGUUGCUCAGGUUGGCCUUGAACUCCUGGACUCAAGUGAUCUUCCCACCUCACUCAGCCUCCCAAAGUGCUGGGAUUAGAGGUGUGAGCCACCAUGCCCAGCCUGAGAAUUGUAAUUUUCUAUCUCACUGUGUGUGUGUUCUUUUCCUUUUUAGUAGGUCUGCUUCAAAUUGCAAAAUCCUGGAUUCAUAAUCCCUGUAGGCGUACAAAGCAAUGUUUUACACCAAAGUGGGAAAAGAUACUUGGGUGGCACAUAUGGCUAAGCAGUAGUCUGACUGUGACACUCAAGAUGCUGAAGACUGAGUUUCCAAAUCUAAUGUUUCUGAGAAAUGGAUAGAAAGAGAAUUUCAUGCUGUACACCUUUGGAAACAAAGGGAAACUUCUUCUUUUAAAAAAGGCAGGUGGGUUACAGUAGUUCACCCCUAUAAUCCCAGAACUUUGGGAGGCUGAAGCAGGAGGAUUGAUCACACCACUGCACUUCAGCCUGGGCAACAGAGCAAGACGUCACUGCAAAAAAUAAAAAUAAAAAGAGGCAAAUGUACUGGAUUUACAUAGAAAUUACUACUUGGGCGAAACAGAACAAAAAUGGAGACAAAGGACAUACAUCUCAUUUCUAUAGACACAUCAUUGAAUUUAUGCUUGUUUUGUUAUAUAAUACUUUUUCCUCAUAGUUGGUUCAAAGGUUAAAGCUUAAAUACAUACAUAACCCCAGAUAAUCAUUUUAUCUUAUGAAGAGAAUUGCUUGAUAUUAGCCAGGGGAGAACCACAAAAGUGAUAUAAUAUUUAAAAAUAUGAUUUGUAAUGAAAAUUAAAGAAACAAAAUUUAUUCUAUCUGGGAAAAAAGUCAGCAAAAGAUAACAAAGAUCCGGGUCAUCCUGUCUGACCCGGAGAAGAGAAGGAUGUUUCCCAUCGUGCGGUUCAAAACCAGCCUCUGCCUGACACGUGUCUCAGAAAUCAUUCUUGAUGAGGCAACGGUGAGAAGAGCUCAGGUUGUGUCCAAGCUUUGAGACCAAGAGAGAAGGAAAAGGAAGAGGAAAGAUGGGAAGGAAAGGGAAGAGAGAAGAAUGAAAAGGAAAGGAAGAGAAGGGAAGGGAUAAGAAGGGAUGAGCAGGAAGAAAAACAAAAAACUAAGAAAUAAACAUUGGAGGCUUUUCAGAUGAAUGUCAAGAUGUUCCCGAGUUACCCAAAAUGACUUAGCUUAUUUAGUUAGAAUUAACAUACAAGAAAA